UGUUAUUCAGUUUGAUUGAAAUUUCAUUUUUGAUUUGUACAAAAAGUAAAAACUCAUUUGUUUUUCUUCCUGAAAGGAAACAUCUUCUGCUCUGGUGAGUUCCAGGUUUGUUGUGUAAAAGUUCUGCAGAGUUAAAAAGCCCAAAGGUCAAGGGUCGUGAGCAGACGUCUGUACCCAGACAAGUGGCCUGGAUGGAGACGCAUGGUGAGUGGUUCCCCGUGAAGAAGGACGUGUCGACGUCGACGCCGUGGAUCCGCCCCGGGACUCCGAGCUGCACCACGCACCAGUCGUGACCUUCAACACAUACUGAUGAUUAUUAACAUUGUUUUCAACAUGAUUCACAGAAGCUUCAGACACUGACCAGCUGUUCUCUUCCUCCUCGUCUCCCAUCCGUCCAUCCACUUUCCAAAGUCAGUGAAGGCAUCGGCGAUGAACUGCGGCGUCUCUCGCUGUGCGAACACACAGACGUUCAGGAGAUUAGGAAAAACAAAGACAAACCAGCAGGUUGGCAGCAGGAGCAAACCACUCGUCUGUAGCGAAAAUGACCUGGAAGAGCAAAAGGAAAUAUCAACUGAUGAACGAUUCAGAAAAUCCUUUGGCAUCUGACGCCACAUGAUGUCACCAGCAGAAGAUGGAGGCGUCGUAUUUAUAUACAGUUGGAGCGGUUCUGACGAGGCUCUGACGUUCUGUGAGACUUUGACCCGUUGUCUUGAGGGAGUGACUCGUCCUGGGAUCAAACUCAGACUCCAGGACUGAGGACGGACGACGAGCAGCUUCUUCUCCACACGAAGGAGGAAAGUGUCAUCGAGUGGAGCUCAGGUGAGUUCAGCAGGUGAGAAGCUGUGUCACUGUCGGACUGUAGAACUGUUUGUCCAAGCUUCAUGGUCGAUUCAACAUGUGGACAGAAACAUGUUGAGAGUUAAAGGACGAUGACCUGAGGAUGACUAGUGUUCAUAUCAGUGGUCCGUCGUCUUUACUGGAGUUUGUCUCAAACACUGACUGUAUAUGUAGACGAUCACUGACUGUAUAUAAAGACGAUCACUGACUGUAUAUGUAGA